rnacentral:rRNA from 1 species
CUAAGAAUCUUCCACAAUGGACGAAAGUCUGAUGGAGCGACGCCGCGUGAACGAAGAAGGCCGAGAGGUUGUAAAGUUCUUUUAUGGAUGAGGAAUAAUACGAAGAGUGGAAAGCUUUGUAGAUGACGUUAGUCCAUGAAUAAGCUCCGGCUAAUUCCGUGCCAGCAGCCGCGGUAAUACGGAAGGAGCGAGCGUUGUUCGGAAUUAUUGGGCGUAAAGGGCGCGUAGGCGGUUAUAUAAGUCUGUAGUCAAAUACCUUGGCUUAACUGAGGGAAGGUUAUGGAAACUGUGUAACUAGAAUUACCUAGGGGAAACUGGAAUUUCUGGUGUAGGGGUGGAAUCUGUUGAUAUCAGAAGGAACACCAAAGGCGAAGGCAAGUUUCUGGGGGAUAAUUGACGC